UUCUUUUUCAAAGUUUUCUAGGUUGGAUGGAGACUAAUUUGUGUUUUUUAGUGUGAGUGUUGUAACUUCCCCUAACCCCAAACCGUCGCCAGAACAGGGCUAUGAGGCAUUAUAGAACAUAUUGGUCAAUUUACGAGCAUUUCACAGGUAAAUAACAGACAUAACAUGCUUUAAUCAUUAAGCCCAUUUAUUGGACUCUGAAGGACCAAAUUUCGUUUCAAAAGUGAAUCGGGUUAUUAUCAUCUCAUACUUGUAUCAAAUAUGUCAUAUUAGUUCCAUUUCAUAUUUAUAACCAAUUUAAACAUCAUUCUACAACCAUAAUCACAAAACUCUUAUACUUCACCUAUACAUCACCUAAGUACAUGCCAUAUUAUCAAAACAAAGAUACAUCACUAAAAUUUAUCUCAGGUCGGGAUUGCUCUGGAUGCUGGACCGAACACUGAUUUUCUAUAAACCUACGCACGGAAACAACCGUACUCCGAGUAUAGAUAUACUCAGUGAUAUUACCAUAAUUCAAAUUUAUAACAUUAUACAAAUAAAUAUGCAUAUUUAAUUUAUGCUAAUAAUCUUUCAAUAAACAUUUAAUACAUUAAAUCAACUUGUUUCAACAACAACAAUAAUAAUAAUUAUCUUUCAAUUCGAUGCGUUGAUUUAUAAUCAAUUUACACUUAUAAUAGCUUUAACACUCAAUUUAUACAUUAAAUCCAUAAAUAAAUUUCAAUAACUUGUAUUCAAUUAAAUUCACAUAUUAUUUCACUAUUUCAAAUCAUUUUAUUUUCACUUCUCAUUUUUCAACAAUAGUUAUUUCAAUUUGCUUUUCGUCACUUAGAUUUUUUCAUCAUCUCAUGCUACCAAAACAUUUCAUGAACUAUAUCAUUAUCUAUUUUUUGAACCCAGGGUUCAUGCAUUUCAUUUCUAUAUCUCAAUUUAAUAUCUCAUUUCAAUUCAUUUUCAAGAUCAUUCAAUACAAUUUAUAUUAUCAAAAUUGUUCAUUUACCCCUAUUAACUUAACUCGGACUUUGGCGGAUACACGGAUCCAACCAAACACACUAGUACUACACAUUGUACCUUAACGGUACACAACACCUAAACAGUAAUCAGUAACUGUAGCAGUAACAGUAAUAGUAACAGUAACAGUAACAGAAAUAGUAUUCAACACACAAAGUGCUGAAUCUAUAACAGUAACGAUAACAGUAUUUGACACACAAAAUGUCGAACCGGUAACAGUUAUAGUAGUCGGCAUAUAAAUGUCUGAUCAGUAAGCCGGCAAAAACCCGUACUCUUCCAUAUCCUAUAGCAUGCCAACUAUAUCCGACUAGCCCGACUAGUUAAUAGGGUAUUUAAUUCACUUUUCAGUAUAAUUUCCAUCUUAGUUCAGUAUCAAUUAUAAUUCCUUAUUUCAAUCAGUUUUACAGUAUUGCAGUAAUUCAUUACUUUAGUAAUUUUUCAAUAUUCCAAUUCAAUACCACAAUAGUUCAAUAAUUCAAUUCAAAUCAUUUCAAUUUCUAUUCAAUAAUCACAUUUCAAUUUCACUCAAUUCACAAUUUUUCAUGUUCAAAAUUUAAAUCAAUUUUUCAAUCCAAAAUGCAUUUCAAUACCACAUUAAUUCUUUUAAUUCAUAUCAUAUCACUAGUAAUUCACAUACAAUUCACAUACAUUCAAUAUCAUUUAAUUCAAUAUCAAUAUUCACCUUAUUUUUAUUUACGAAACAUAUUAUUCAAAAUUCAACAAUCGUUAUUAAUAAAUUCAAUACCAAUACGUAUUUAUCAUUCAAUUCAAUCAUGAUACUUACCUCAAUUUGCUUAUCAUGUAUAUUAAUUUAAAUUUUAACAAUUAAUAAUUAAAUUCGAAUUAUGGUAAUACUAACCGAAAUUUCUGUCGAGUCACUUCUUGUCCACAUUUUCCUUUCCUUGCUUGGACAAUGACUCUUGCACGACAUUAGCUACGUAAUUAAACAAUUAAAAAUUAUUAAUACACGAUUUCAUCAAAAUAUUUCCAUUUAUACCUAAACUUUACCUAAAUUCUAAUUUCAUCCCUUAUCAAUACUAAUUUUAUUUCCCCAAUCUAACUCCAUAUUCUCUCUUAAUUCUUACUAUAAACUCAUUUUAAUUAUUCAAUUUCACAUAAAUCCCGAAUUUCGAGAUUCUUUCAAUUUAGUCCCUACUAUUCAAAAUUUACACUUUAUUUUACAAUUAAAUCCUUUACUAACUUCUAAGUUGAAAUUAAAUCAAUUUAACCCCUAAUUCAUCAUCUUUCCCAACAUGAACCAUGUCUAAAAAAAAUAUAAUAUCUUACAAAAUUUCAACAUAAAUCCAAUAAUACUUUAUUCUAAGAUUCCAAAAACAUCAAAACUAAGAAAAAAUGGAUUAAAUUGACUUACAAAAUUAACUUUGAACCUUGAAACCCUAAAUUUCCCUUUUUCUUUUUCUUUCUUUCUUUCUCCCCUGUUUCUUCUCUGUUUCGUUC
rnacentral:lncRNA from 1 species